AAUAUUUCCCAACAUCAAUACUAAAAAUAAUAAUAAUAAAAAAAAUCGUUAGAUUAAGCGACCUCUAUCGGUUAUCAUUCAUUUCCUCACUUUCAGCUGCUGAAAUUCGUUACUUUUCGUUAGUGUUCCUCAAAUUCCUUCUUAAAUCACGUUUCCAACUCCAGAUGUUUCCCGGUUCGGCGGAUUGUACUUGUUGAUCGGAUGGAUUCAUGCUGCUCUAGUAAUAGGUGCUACUACAACAUAUAUAUUUUUACUGUGAGGUAGGAAAUGAGGCUACUUGCUUAUAAGCUCAACCAAUGUCUUGAAAGAUGCAGCAGAACUGGACGGAUAACCACCCUCAAAGAUGCCUCUCAAGGCAAUUGCUCGAUUGCGAACUUCUCCAUCAUCCAUCAGCAGGUUAAUUCCUUGAUUUAUAUCAAACUUCUUCACCAUUUCUGAUUCAUCGUCUAUACCAGCAAUCAUGUGGCCAACAUUAUGAUACUUGACCACCAACUUGGCAUUGUAAAAUUGGUCCCCCCUGAUCGGCCAGGCCAAAAAUGGGAUGCCGCAAGCGAUUGCCUCCACCGUCGAAUUCCACCCACAGUGCGACAACAUUCCUCCCGUUGAGGGAUGACUGAGUAUUGAUAGCUGUGGUGCCCAUCCCUUUAUGAUAAGGCCUCUAUUCCCAACUCUUUCUUCCAAGCCAUGGGGCUGAUACCCUUCUUCUUUAGAUUCUGACAUGGCUCUGCCGCCAGAAAUGCUGACAGACGGGCCGGGCUGUCCAGCUCCCGGCUUGAUGACCCAUAUAAAUGAUUUGUCCGUCUCCGCCAAUGCCUCUGCCAACUGAUCAAACUCUUCCAGAGAUGGACCAACCGCAGUACCAAAUGACACAUAUAUGACAGAAUGACGUGGCUUCGAAUCGAGCCAUUGGAUCACCUCAUCUUCUGUGUAGUUCGUUUCACGGUUCAGCCUACUAUCCCUAUCAUGAACAACCGAACCGAUUGAUUUCCAGAAUGUCUCCGGCAAUAAUGGACCCACGCCGAAAACAGGCUUCUCCACUUGGCCCGUAAGGUACUUGAGAAAUGGUGCUUCAAGACCAUCACAAGUGUUGAUUAACACAGCAGUAGAGCCUUCAGUCUCAUCCAUCCAGCGUGUGGACUCUCUGGGCCCCCUGCCUCCACCUCCAUCUCUAUCUCCACCUCUACCUCCACAUCUACCUCCACCUCCACCUC